UACGGGGGGGGCAAGCGUUGUUCGGAAUUACUGGGCGUAAAGGCUCGUAGGCGGCCAACUAAGUCGGACGUGAAAUCCCUCCGGCUUAACCGGGGAACUGCGUCCGAUACUGGAUGGCUCGAGGAUGGGAGAGGGAGUGCGGAAUUCCAGGUGUAGCGGUGAAAUGCGUAGAUAUCUGGAGGAACACCGGUGGCGAAGGCGGCAUCCUGGACCGGUACUUGGACGCUGAUGCGCGAAAGCCAGGGGAGCAAACGGGG
rnacentral:rRNA from 1 species